UGAACUUCUUGAUCAUACCAAUGUCCGUGUCUAUGAGAACGGAUAGGUAAGGCUGUCACGCGCCUGUUUUCUGACAAAUCAAGAUUUAAGUGAUGCAGAAAUUGAGAAUCAUCUAAGGCUUAAUUAUAGGGCAGCAGUGGAUAUGAUUUUUAUGUUGUUUGAUGUCAAUGGCAAUGGGCAGUAUUGGCUACCACCAGAUAUGGAUCACCUACUUGGAUUGAUGUGGAAUAAUUUUGGGGAUCGGGGAAUUUAUGCCAUACAUGCUGCUCUUGUACCUAUGGUUUUGUAUCCCCACUUGUUUAAGGAACUGCACGAUUUCAUUUCAGCUAAGAUUAGGGGUUCGGAAUACCAUGACAUCUGUGUUGCACUAGUUGCUAAUGCUCCUGAUUGAAGACGUGAAGUUCAUAAUAAUGACCUCCUUUGUGAAAUAUAUUUUUUUAGACAAGGUUUGAAUUAUGUUGUUCCAUACAACUACCCAAAUCAACUUCAUAUCAGACGUGAUCAACUAGCUGCUCUUCAGGAAGUUAGUUUGAUAAAUUAGAAUGCAUCGAGGCUAACACAGCGUGAGAUUGAUAUUAUUAAUGGCCAUAAGCUUUUGAAGUUCAUGAGAAAUCGGUUGGCUCACUGUAUGGAAGCUAUACAAGCCGGCUAUACGACUUAGAAUCAGCAGUUUCAGUAUGAUUUCUCAGCUAUCAGUAGUGAGACGGUAACUAGAGUGAAAUUUCCUCUAAUCCUGGCUCAAAUUCAGAUUAAUCUUCAUCAUAUAGGGCAUGAUUUGGAGGGACUUGGGUUGGAUAACUUGUUUGGGAGAACUGGAUAACUUGUUCUAAAUGUCCUCUCAGGUAACUUGUGAUUAUGAGCUGUGCAAUUUCUAUGUUGUGUAUGCUGUGUGCUAGUGCGGAGGACUGGAGUUAGCAAGGUGGAGUGGCUUGCUAGCUUUUUGGCCUUCUACGAGACACUCUAUUUAACCCCCUGUGGGACUAUGUAACCCGUAAUUGGUAGUAGUCUUUUUUAUUAUAGCCACUUUUUUCAAUGCAAAUAUAGUCAUAAGCACAAAAGCUUUUGGUAUGUCAUAUCUCUCGGGUGAAUGUUUGGUCUUUAUUAAUUAUACUACUUUCUGCAUGUAUAUGCUAAUAAUUAGCCUCGCUCACUAUUGAGAAGAGGGAGGGGAGCACCUCUAUUUAUAGGCGCUCAUGAUCAUUGUAGUGUUGCCAUGUGGCAACUUCCACUCUCUUCAAUACAAAAUAUCCUAACUCUAGAACCCUCAUCAUCCUUAUCUAGUUUCUAAUAUUUCUACCAUGCUAAAAUAUCUAGUUCUAGAGUAUUCUACACUUCACCAUGAAGCAUGACAAUUAUGGCUCAUGCAUUCUCUCUAAUUUUCUAGAACCUUCUUACCUUGCCACGAUCUUAUCCAUAUACAUGGUAAAGUUAGUCUCUUUGGAUCUUCACAAUCUUCUAGAAUGUUGUAAGUAUGCAUUGCAUAUUUCAACACUCACCCCAUACACGCACUGUAUUAAACUAGUUGCAUGCAGCAAAAGACUUGUUGGAUCAUAUAUUUAUUUCGUGUUUGACUCUGCAGCAGCUACGAGCUCCCAACCCGCACCCCGUGCCAUUCCAGCGACAUUGUGGCGUUAGUGGCCAGGACACCCAAAAAAGGUAUGCAACUAUUUUCAUUCCUAGCCAAUAAAUAAGAUGAAGUGUGUAGGAUCGGUAUACAAUUGCUCAUUCCAGUAGUAGUAGUUUAUUCUUUUUGUCAUGGAUCAAUGAAAGUAGCUAGAGUAGUCAGUCAAUAAAUAGGGUGGGAAAAUAAAUAUUCCUGGUGGAUGGCAUAACCAACCGCCAGCACAAAAUUUCUCUGCGCUAGCGCGUGGUUAUGCCAACCGCCAGCAUGGAAUUUCAUUGUGCUGGCGCGUGGUUAUGCUACCCGACAGCACAAAGACCCACCGUGCUGGCGGGUGGUUAUAUCACCCGCCAGCACAGAGAGCCACUGUGCAGGCAAGACCUCUUUGCUGGCGGGCAAGCACCUGCCAGCAUAUACCGCUAUUUUUUCUGGUUCAAAGUUCCUGGCGGGUGUGCCGCCCGCUAGCACAGUGACCAUUUACCCGCUAGUACAAAUGUUUUUUGGAGUAGUGGUUACUGCAUCAACUUGUUGAUAUAUGGACGAGAUAACACUCUAUGACAGGUCAGCACCUUUUCCAGUGUCAAUGGAACCAAAGUAUGGUGGAGGCUUGUUGUUUUCAGUGGUGGCCGUGGCGCACGUGGUGGUGACUGUGGAAGUUAGUUAUCAUGUGAAGCUACGAUUUGAGAUUAGUAGAGGCAAGGAAGAAGCUGGGUGUGGGGUUAGUAGGCAUGCCAGGCCAUCGUGAUGGGCAGGAUGUUCAAGGUAGCUGCGAAGGUAUCAGCCUUGUACGUGCUGUAUCUGAUACCGCUGCGAUCCACGUACCUCGCCGGUUUCAAGAGCAACUUCAGAGAAGGUAUCUGAUUUCAUGUUGAUCCUUGCAAAUUUGGAUAUAGGAAAUCUCAUGUUUGUUAGCUAAUUAGCAUGGAGUGGCUACUCUUCUUGGGAGUAACUUGUUUAUCUCAAUUCAGGGACCGAGGCUACUGCCCCCAAGAAGAGUGCUGCUGCUGCUGCCAACUAAGUCAUGAUCGAUAUCCCCAUUGAAGAACCUUGGAAGCAACAAGUUGAGAACUUUUGGUUGAAUUGUACUAUCUCAUCUCUAUCUAGCCACAAUACUGUGAAAGCACUGGUUUGCCUGUACUUUAAAAUUAAAGUCAGAUGAAGAACAUCUGAAUUCGCUGCUCCUUAGUUUGAUGUCAUUUUGGUGAUCUGUGCAUGCGUUUCUGAGCAAUUUUAGGCAUAAAAAAUUCUUUUUGGUGAGCUAUGACCCCCACGCCACGCGUGACAUUGACAAGAAGGUCCGUUACAUGGGCCGGCCAACCUGAGCCUCACAAGGAAAUUAGGCAUUAUUGUUGGGUGGGUUCGUCCGUUGGUAUAGAAGCCCAGUGGCCCAAACUGCAUGCGUAUGGCCUCGUCGCAUACAAGUGCACCCUAAAUCAGCAUUGGUCCCUGGAAUCUGGAAGCCGCCGGAUCGCCGCCACCUCCGCUCCCGCACGCCUCCGCCUCUUCUCUCCUUGCUGGCCGCCGCGUCCUUCUUCGUCGGUAAGGCACCUCAUCACCUUAUAGAGAUCAUCCCCCGAUUUGUUCACCUCCGCCGACUUCCCCAACUGGGUGAUGCUGGAGCCCUUCGUGUUCCGCAGGGACGACGACAAGUCUUUCCCGGACGAGAGCAAGGCGCCCGUCAGGGCGUCCGGCACCACCUCCUGGCAAGCCCAGUUCCGUUUCGCCUUCGACCUCGCGGAGCCCCCGCGCAUCUCCCGCCUCUAUGCGCAGCUGCCAGGCUUUCCGGGUCCCAGGAAAGGGAGGCCCUUAGCCAUGGUGUUGACGCACCGCCAUCUCGCCCUGUUUAGCGUCGGUACCUAUUGACGAGAACCUAUUCAUCUACAGCGCCAAGUCUUCCUCGCUCGAAAGGCUCCCCUGUUGUACCGAGGAUUUGGAACUUGUCCUCCACGAUGGCAGCCCAUCUCAUCGCCCUCGUGAAUCGGGGUCGCGCCUGCAGUGUGUCAGUUCCAUGGGCCUCUUGUGCCAAGGCGAGGAAGAAGAAGAGUUCGCGGUGGCGGAGCUGAAGCUCUACCCGGACAGACGCAAGUGUAAGAUCUUCGCCGACAUCUUCCUGUUCUUGAAGUCAGCCGGCAAAUGGAGCUCUUCGCGUGUACCCAUCCUCCACAGCGGCAAUCCCGAUGAUUUGUGGCAUCUCUACAUCUGGCAGGCCCACAGGGUCAUCCCUGUGGACCGCUGGCUAUGCUGGAUUGACUGUAUGCAAGCAUCCUCUUCUACGAUGUGUUUGCGGCGGCACCGGCUACUAUCUCCUUAUUCCGCUUCUCCGUGCACAAGUUCCCUGCUACUCAUCCCAAUCGUGGCAGCUGGUUUCACUGUGGUGUGUCUGCCUUUGAUGCCGCCGGUACGCUCAAGUUCGUUGAUGUCACCCGCGAUGAUGGCAUUACUGGCUACAAGGCACUCAAGCCCGGUGCUGGCUUCACCAUGACCUGCCACACCCUCCUCCUCCCAUCGUCUCUAAGCAGUAGCAGCAUGGUGUGGAACAAGGACUGGAAAGUCACCUCUGAUGAGCUCUGGAGUAAUGAUAAUUGCCUCCCGCGCCAGGUUCCCAUGUUCCCCCAAGAUAACAUCGACAUGCCACAUCUAGUACAUUUCCUUAUCAGCGACUUCACAUACGUGAUGAGGAAGAUGUGGGUGGUCACCAUUGACAUGAACACUAGGACCGUCGAGUCAUUUUAUCAGUAUCUCAAUGGUCAGGAGGACAUUGGAACUGAGCAGGAGUUCUUGACCGACCAAAAGUCCGUGUGUCCCAGUUCCUUCCUCCCCAGUGAGUUCUCCAAGUACCUUUCCUCAAGGUAAUACUAAUUGCUAGCUGCUGGCAUUUAUCUAUCUUUUACCUAGUUGCUUAUUAGUAGGUUUUUGCUGGUUAAUUGCAUGUUUAAUUUGUCCCUUGCAUUGCAUAUAUGCAAGUUGUUCACCACAUAUUAAUCAAUCGUUAGCAUUUCACUUCAAUCUUUAAUCAAGUGUUUGUUUUUGGCAAUUCUUUCCUAAGUAAAUAUAUAUAGCACAACUAAUAAUUUGGGACGCAAUGGUAGUAUUUUCCUCUAGUAUUUGUUGUCUUAACUUAAUUGUGACUAUACUGUGCAUGCAUCAUUACAAAUCAUUGUCACAAAACAUAAAUCAUGUGACGGUUUGGACCAAGUACAUAAUAAAUGAGAGUGAUCACAAUGUACAUUGGUAAUUUUGUACAAUCAUAAUGUACGCUUGUGGCCAUGCAAGGUCAAAUUCCAAACAAACUGCCAAACACACAGAGAAAAAACUACAUUAGUGUGUUAUCAAUGUAUUACUACUAGCCUGCAUGUUUUCAGAAGAACAAACCAACCACAAGAUCACAUUUUGAAUUAAUCUCAAGUCAUCAUUCAUCAUCUGUCAAGUUCUCCAAAAGCGCCAAAUUCUGCAUUUUGAGGAUCCUCAUGUUGAGCUCAACUUGGCGAUUGAUUGCUGUAUGCCUGUGUCAUGAUUAUCAUGGAAGCCAUCAACGGGAGCUAAUGAAUUACAAAUGAAUUUCCACUAUAUCUUCAAGGGCUGAGAUGUCCCAAAAUAACAGCCGGAGAAAAUGUUUCCUUACAAAUCGAUUCAGAAGCACUGGAUUGCAUGCAUAUUCGCCGUUGUAGGCUCCUAGCUAGCUGUUCUCGUACUCUUUGGCGAGCUACAAGCCUACAAGAUGAGAAUGACUGUAUGGAUGAGAACGAAGAGGUAAGAGAUAUGGAUACAGGUCUGUGUAAAUAAAAAGCCUCGACAUGCUUAAUAGGGAUAAACGAAGUUAAACCAAAGAACCCCUCAGCAGCAGCCAGCAGCUUAAAAAAAUGAUAACUAAUCUAUUAUUAUGACCUAAAAUGCUUUUAUUACUAGCAUGCUUUUUAAAGUAUUGCGAUUGGAAUUCCUGCAUUGCAAACAUCUUUUUCCAUCCAUUCCUGUGUUUUUUCCAUCCUUUGUUUCGCUAUUACACACUCAUCACAUUCAUACGGUUUUUUCCUAUUCCUCUUGUUUUAUAUUCCUUCGUUCCAAAUAGACCCUAAACACUGAAGACAUUACGAACCUGGGAGCAUUAUGAACUCUGAAUAAGUUACAGAGGGAUUUACACAAUACGGAAUUUCUGAAUGCCUGCACUGAAACGAAACAAAAUGGAAAUGUUCCUCAAAUGACAGUUCCAUGAAGUAGCUAGGAAACUCUAAGGGUCCAUUUGGCUGAGAGAAUCGUUCCAGAUUCUUGCUAGAAUUUGUCUGUUGCUUGCCAAACGGUCACCAUAGCUAUAGUUGGCUAAAUGGGCCGGGCUAAACGGGCGGCAUGAGGGCCGGCCUGUUUUGGCCUGACGCCAGCACGGCCUGGCCCGCUGUUACACGGGCCUGUGCCGGCACGGCCCGACACAGCAAGCCGAACCUAGGCCUCAGCUGCGGCACAUCGGGCGGCCCAUGGCACGGCCCGUGCAACGGGCGGCACGGCCACGGCCCGGUUUCCCUGGUAUAAGCCCUCCCUCCCAGCCCCCGCCCGCGCAUCCGCAUCGGCAACCCUAAUCCCUAAUCCCCUCCCCCUCCCUCUCCUCCAGUCCGCCGCAAUCCCACUUGGCCGCUCAGCCUCGCGCGUGUCUGCCUCCCUCUCACCCUAAGCACCGGUCACCGUCACAGCGGCACCGCCCCCGUCAUCGGCUCCCCACCCCCACCUCCUGCCCUCCGCCUGUCCGCCUUCGGCCCUCCGCCUAUCUGCCUCCUUCCCCUUCUCGAUCUAGAUCUCACCGGUCCGCCUCUGCCUCUUGCCUUGAUGCCUCCUUCCCCUCCUUGAUCUCGGCAUGCUUGGGUGCUUCGGCAACGCAGGUACUUUCUUCUUCUUCCCCUUCUCACAUCUUGACCUAAUCCCCUCCCGCAUCUUGGCUUCUAGGUCAUUGGCUGAGCACAAUGCCAUCGUGCUCGCAUGGGUGUGGCGCACGCCGUUGAGGAGCCUGAGCCGCCGAGGCAUCAAGGAGGCGAGGAGGAGGGAGGUCAUUAGAGUCUCGGAGAUGGAGACUGAUACACCGACCUCUGAUACACCUUGGUCGUUAGAAGUGGAUGUCCUCCAGGUUGGCUUAGCUGGUGGCAGUGCUGCAGAUGCUAUCGACCUUGAUGGUGCCGGCCCUGCCGGCGCGCCCGAGGAGUCGGUGCCGCCGGUGAGCUUUGACGCGAAGAGGGUCAAGAACUCCACAUCUAAGGUGUGGAACGACUUUGAGGAGCUCUUCAACACGAGGAAUGGCAAGAAGGUCAAGUAUGGCGCUAGGUGCCUUCAUUGCAGUCAUGAGUACUCUGGCAAAUCUUCUAGUGGUACUGGCCAUUUGUGCCGGCACAUUCUUGCUUGUAGGAAGAGAAAAGAAAAUGAUCGCAUGGCUCAAACUAUGCUAAAGUUCAAUCCUGAUGGUUCUAUCCAUUAUUGAGAGUACUCUGAUGCUGUUGCUCGUAGUCAACUGUGCCGCUUGAUAGCUAGGGAGGAUAUGCCUUUAGGGUUUGGAGAGUCUAAUACCUUUUAAGAGUACAUAAACUGUACUCAUAACAAUAGAUUUUCUAAAUCCUCUAGGCAAACCACCACCAGAGUAACAAUAGAUUUUCUAAAUCCUCUAGGCAAACCACCACCAGAGAUAUGGUAAAACACUUCACUGAAUGUCAUGGUAAGCUUAAGGAAAUGUUAGUUGUAUCUUUUUCAUCUGUUGCUCUUACUUCUGAUAUAUGGUCUGGAAAUUCUAAGGAGGAUUAUCUUAGUAUGGUUGCUCACUUUGUUAAUGCUGACUGGGAAUUAGAAAAAAGAUUGCUAGGUCUGAGACUCAUUGAUGAGUCACUUCUGGUUCUUCUUCUGUUUAUUCUCCUUCUCAAUUGGGAAGGAGGACAAGUAUUGGUGCACUAUUUGUAGGUACUACAUCUCUUUCAGAACUGUCAUCAUAUCUAGAUAGUGACUACGUCACCCAAUACGAUGAAGACUUCAACAUUCUCAAUUGGUGGCACGAGCAUAAGCAAACUUAUCCCAUUCUUUCUAUACUUGCUAAAGAUGUGCUAACAGUACCUGCUUCCACAAUAUCAUCAUAAUCCACUUUUAGUCUUGCUGGCAGGAUGCUUGAGGAGCGGCGACGGUGGCUGACAUCUGACAUGGUGGAGGUGCUGUCUUGCUUGAAGGACUGGGAGUGGGCUGAUGCUCAAUUGCAGCACAACGUCGAGAAGGAGACCAAAGAUCUGGAUCUGGCUUUCGAGAACAUAUUCCUUGAUGAUGAUGAUGCUGAUUCAUGAUGGAGUGAUGCCUUGAUGGACAUGUGUCUUUUCUAUUCUACUUAGUAUCGCACUAUUUGUGUAAUGAACAUUUGGACAUUAAGAACUCUCUAGAGCUAGGUUGUACUCUUUUUUCCUUUCUAGGUUUUUUCUCACGAGGUGUGAGUUUUACCUAGAAAGGUUUUUAAUAAGGCAGCCACAUCAAACGGCUCAAAUAAAAUUUGAUUUGAUCAUCUCUAUAUCUCUAUGAGUAUCAGUUAUGAUUUUGAUAAUAUGUAUGUAUAUGUUAUAUGCUGUGCAUUCCCUAUCCGUUGGAUGGUUUUUAUUUGGCGGGCCGAUUGGCGGCCCGACCUGACUGGCUAUGUAUAACCACAGCCGGCAAUUCUAGAUAGAAACGUUUCUAGCUAUUCUAAUUUUUUGUACUAGAGAAUAGAAUCACCUCCAAGCCAGUUUCAGGUGAUUCUGUUUCUUUCUUUCCUGUCUCCCCUCUAGUAUGUGAUAAGUACACUUCGUCUUUUUCAAGUGCAAUAAUUUAAAAUGGAUCGCAUGUGAAAUGUUCUUCACCCACAAAAAAAUUCAUGAAGCCUAUCUAUUUCUAUAUUUUUUAAAAAAGAAAAAUAAUUUAUCUUUAUGUCUAUUUUAGAAACCGAAUCAGCUAGGUAGCCAAACAAUUUUAGGUAGCAAAACAAUUUCAGGAAAGUAAUUCUAUUUCAACAAAGAAACGUUUCUACAGAGAAUCUGAAUCUGAAAUGUUUCUUAGAGAAUCUGGAUCCCUACCAAACCAAACCUAGGAUAAGUUAUAAAGCUAGCAUAACACAUGGGACCAUAUAAAAGGACCACAAAACAGGAGCCCAGAUUCCAAGAACAAUUACAUCAUAUAAUCUAAAUGUCUCUUAUUUGUUGGAAGGGCAAUUUUUUCUAAAACACUAUGAUUUCCAAAUCCACUUAAAAGAACUUGGUACUUCAGAACGAUCGGUUAGAAUCUUAUAAGCGUUGGACAAUGAGAAAACAGCAUUACCCUAAACUUUCAGUCUCAAAACUAAAUUCAAUUUUUAAGAACUGUUCCAUUUACAAAUUUUUGCAAUACCAGUUAGGUUCCUACUUCCCUUACGUAGUUACUCCUGUAUUACUGUCUGUAUCUCCAACAAAUUCAAUUCCCAGGUAGGCCGGAUUGAUGUAGUUUACAGAGAUGCUUCCAGGGAACUAGUAGUGCAGAUUACUGCACCAUACCAAGCAAGAGCAUGCUAAUUCGAAACCAAAACCGAAACCAAGCAAAACAGCUCACAUUGCUAGUUUCUUCCACGAUAGAUAUUUUCUUGUGAUAUAUCUAGGAAGGAACAAGGUCCUCAAGUGGAUAGUUCCACUAUCCGCUUGUGGUUUGAUGAAACAUCAGACAAUAUCUUUAUCAAUGAAAUAGGCACAAUCUCAUACCCGUUCGUUCAAAACGAAAAGAAAAGAAACAUCAGACAAUAGUUCGAAAAUCAAAGAAAGAAAUAAAGAGAAAAAAAAUCGCCAGGAUCUUGUUUUGCCGUUCUGAAUUUGUGGUCGCCGCUCCCAUGCGAUGCGUAGCGUUGGUGGAUGGAUCCAUCAGUGGCCGCCGCCCACGGCGUCCUUGACCGCGGCCGCCGCGCCCUGGGCCAUCUGCGCCACCUGAUCAGCAGCCUGCGCUCCCACACGGAUGGGAGGAUUAGAGGAUUAUUCAUCGGAAAUCACCCGGCGAGGAGGAAUUCAUCCGUACUACCUGCUGGACGGUGUCGGCGGCGCGGUGCUGCUGCUGCUGCGCGCUGUCGGCCGCAGCUCCGGUGGCGUCGGCCGCGGCGCCGCCGGCGGCGUCCUUGACGGACUGCGCCGCGCUCUCCGCCUGGCACUGCACACACACACACAUGGAUCAUUCAUGGAUGAAUUCCAGGGCACGCCAUGCCAUGCAAGCAAAGCGAUUCGUCAGCACUAGCUCACCUCGCCCUCGGCGGCGUGCGCCUUGCCGGCCUGGAUGGAUUGCUCAACGUUCGACAUCGCCGAUGAUGGUUUCUUCUUGAAGCUGUCAAAAUUACUUGAAGUUGCCAGGCGCUUGAGCCGUGGUUUAUAUAGAGCCUUGUAGGAGCUGCAAGUCUUGACAAGUGUCAGGUUAAUUUUUAGCCAUUUGCUAAUUACCGCAAGCCAAAUUUAGAGCCUCCACAAAUAUCGUAUUCAUAAUUUAUUUCUAGAUUAAAUCACAACUAAAAGUGCUUAUAUAUCCAACAGUCACCUCUGAUGAGCUCUGGAGUACUGAUGAUUGCCUCCUGUGCCACGUUCCCAUGUUCCCCCAAGUGAACAUCGACAGGCCACAUCUAGUGCAUUUCCUUAUCAGCGACUUCACAUACGUGAUGAGGAAGAUGUGGGUGGUCACCAUUGACAUGAACACCAGGACCGUCGAGUCAUUUUAUCAGUAUCUCAAUGGUCAGGAGGACAUUGGAACUGAGCAGGAUCAGUUCUUGACCGACCAAAAGUCCGUGUGUCCCAGUUCCUUCCUCCCCAGUGAGUUCUCCAAGUACCUUUCCUCAAGGUAAUACUCAUUGCUAGCUGCUGGCAUUUAUCUAUCUUUCACCUAGCUGCUUAUUAGUAGGUUUUUGCUGGUUAAUUGCAUGUUUAAUUUGUCCCUUGCAUUGCAUAAAUGCAAGUUGUUCACCACAUAUUAAUCAAUCGUUAGCAUUUCACUUCAAUCUUUAAUAAAGUGUUUGUUUUUGGCAAUUCUUUCCUAAGUAAAUAUAUAUAGCACAACUACUUUACCAAGCACCUUCAUUUGCAUGCUAGCUUUCUCUUGCUAACAGAAUCAAUGCAAGUUUGAUUUGAACAUCAUCCAUCUAGAUUGCUUUUUCACAGUAUUUAUGUAUUUCAUUGCAGGACGGUGGAAUGAGUCGCAUCAAUAUAUUUGGUUCCACAAGAUAGUAAGGCUUCUGUUGUGUUUGUCAACAUGUUGAAGGAUGAAUGGAUAAGUUAUAUCAAUAAGUUUGUGGAAGUGUGUUCCGUAGGUUCGUCAAAGAUGUUGGUGUGUCGAGCUUAAAGUACAAUCUUUAAAUUGUGUAAUUGUGUGGAUGUGUCACGUGGUACUUGAACCUGUCUGUGUUAUGCCAAGUUUGCAUGUGAAAGUUAAGCUCUACUGCUCCCUCCGUCCCAAAUUAUUAGUCGUUUUAGCUUUUUCUAGAUUCAUAGAUUUUGCUAUGCACCUAGAUAUAUAUUAUGUCUAGAUACAUGUUAAAAGGUAUGAGCCUAGAAAAACCAAAGUGACUAAUAAUCUGGGACAGAGUGAGUAGUAUGUUACCCGUGCUAACUCAAUGGCAGUAUUUUCCUCUAGUAUAUGUUGUCUUAACUUAAUUGUGACUAUAUUGGAUACCCGAGCUAUCCAAUGUGCAGCUGAACCAGAGAGUCGAGGAUAGAGUAUCGUGGAGAUGGGAUGCAUAUGGAGUCUACUCCGCUCGAUCAGCCUAUCGUGCCUUCUUCUUUGGGGCAACGAAGUUCGCUGCAGCUAACCUGAUAUGGAAAUCAUGGGCACCUUUGAAGCUGAAAUUCUUCAUCUGGCUGACAAUUAAGGAGCGCUUGUGGACGGCGGACAGAAGGCACCUGCAUGCCUUGCAAGGAAACGCUAAUUAUAUUGCACUUUUUGCGACCAGGAGUUAGAAACAGCAGCGCAUUUGCAUAUCACCUGUCCGUUUGCAAACGAGGUUUGGCACAUUGUUUUGUCUGAACUGCACAUACAGAACAUUGCCGUGCUACCUGAAACUUCUUUAACGGAAUGCUGACUGCGCAAACGGCAAGCCACGAGUAGAUCAUUGAGAAAAGGGAUGGACUCUAUGUUCAUGUUGAUCUCCUGGACGAUUUAGAGACAUCGGAACGACAGGGUCUUUGAUAGAGCUCCCAACAAAACUCCUUUGCAACUAAGUGAUCCAGGACGAAGAAGGAGCCAAACAUUUAGCGCUGUUCCAAUGGCCGCGCCAGCAGCAGGACUCUGCAAGGGUAGCCUAGUGGGUUGGUUUGUAGCCCCUGUGUACACGGAAGCUUAUGAUGUCUUGUAGUUUAAAACUAGCUACCUAACAAAAUCGUGUGCGUGAGCCGGUAGACCCGUGUUGUAAAAUUAUUUUAUCUCUUCUUAAUACGAAGGUACGCAUGCGUAUUCUCAAAAAAAAGAGCAGUUACAACGUGACGAACUGAAUUUCUACUUCCUCACUCAAGCUGGUAAAAAUCUGGCUAAACUUUACCAAAUGAAUUUCUUUUUCCUCCACUCAAACUGACAAAAAUCUGGCUAAACUUUACCAAAGCAGUGUAUUCCAAACUGUUUGCCCACCUUUCAAUGUUGGAGUACAAGUGAUUGCCCGCAUUUUACUACUAGCUUAAGAUUUUGGGUUGAACUGGUUUGUGCAUUCAACUCAAUAUGGUAUCAGGCCUAGAGGUCUCGGGUUCGAAUCCUAGCGGGCGCACUUAAAUAAAAUAAUUGCAGCCCACUCACAUAUGUUGCUUAAGAGAGCCUGCGCGUGAGGGUGUGUGUUGGAGCAUAAGUGAAUUGCCCACUUUUCCUCAUCACCUUUUGGGUUGAACUGGGUGGUGCAUGCAAAUCAAUACAAAUGAGAAGCGCCCAGCCAUAUGUAACACCAAUGGAUCAAGUUCAAAUCCAGUUUGAAAUUUCAAAUCUGAACUCAAGGUGCGAAAGUUGCCAAAUAUGACCAAGUACCUAUGUUUGGAUCCAGAUUUGAAAAGAUUUCAUAUGGAAACUUGGGAGAAUGUUCUUGUGAAAGUUGGAGUGAAAAAUGAUAUUUUCCAUGCCCAAAGUUGCUCUUGAAAUGGCAAGGCAGGUGUUGCAGGUACUUCAUCCUUCCUGUUCCAAUGGUCUUGCGCCUGAUGGCCUUCACACUCCAGUUAUCUGAAUUGAUGCAACCACCAUGUUAACAUCCAGGAUUGGAGACAUGAUAACCAAACUAUAUAGGAAGUGCAAUCAGACAGCUUAAUCCAACAACCAAGUAAACAAAUAGCAAGGUUAGCUUUAAUGCUUGACAACUGGAUUGCAAACCUAAACCAAUUAGAUGAACACUUGAAGGAAAAAACAUGUAAAGGCAAAAGUUACAACAGAAACAGAUAUUAGUUUUUUUCCCAGAAGAUAGAUUGCAAAUAGAAUACAAAACAAAAUGCUGAGGUAUCAUCAGAGACUUAAAUACUUGGGAAUCAUUAAAGAAUUUUAACUUCAUCAUAUUGUUGCAGUUUAAUUUCAAAGAAAUAAAGCAAAACAGAUACAGUUGCAGCACAAUGAGGGCCAAAUACUAAAUGCUGAAAAAAAUUCAAAUAGAGUAACAGUGACACAAUCAGAAUAAAGUAGUAUGGUGCUGCACAGGGCAUGAAAUAUAUUCUCAUUGCAUGGCACCUCUGAAGUCUGGAAGUCACAAGGGAAAAAAUUGACCAAAAACAAACUUCCAAAAAUAAUAAAAGAGGGAUCAUCAGAGACUUAAAUACUUAAGAAUCAUAGGAGUAUUAUUACUCCCAUCAUAUUGUUGCAGUUAUGUUACUCAUCACUUGACCCCCGACAGUGGAAGCAGGCCAAAAAGGUAUUUAAACGGAUUGCAAACUCAUGUAACAUAUACAAAUUAAGCAGACCUAUACGACUCAUGUACUAAUUGCAGGGAACAUUUCCAAAAGAGUUAGAUUGAGGAAGUAGCCAGAAACAUUUGGGUUGAAAUUAUGAAACCAGUGAAUAAUCACUGUAAAGUAGCACACCGCUGCUCAGAACAUGAAAUAUCUUCUCAUCAAUGCAAUUGCAUCUCUGAAGUCUGACAUGCGAUUACAUUUUCAUGAUUCAUCAUAGCGAUUUGACUGGUAGGAAAAACAAAAUCAAGGAGCAGACAGAUACACAAAAGUAAAUACAGUGAGGUAUCUAACUGAGAGCAACGUCCAAACAAGGCACAAAAAGAAUACACUUUUCGCAGACUGGGAUCAUUUUGAAACAACACAUCGUUGUCGAUCACGGAUAAUCAGAAACACGGACCGGUGGUUUUCUUCAUCCUUUCCCGCAACGAACAAAUUCAUCAUAUAUGCUAAACAGAAAGCACAUAACCAGGCAGGAAAUCCAGUAACGGACAUGCAUAUAACCACGCAUCCCUAAUAAGAAGCAAAAACUAACAGCAGGCCAUCAAACUUUCAGUUCAUAGAAACAUCCUCCACGCUCCACAUGACACGGUAAGUAGGUCAUCUAACAAGAUGUGUUGACGUCUACCACAGCAAUCCACAAGCUAAUGUAACACGGAACAGCAUAUACAAUUAGGGCAUGUCAACGCAACUUGAACGGAGAACACCAAACCCAUACAGAUCUAGCAAGCCAACAAGUUCAGUUCAGAGGAAUUUCAAUAGGACAUCCUAAUUUUACAUGCUUAAUUUUCAACCAGGGGCUGGAAGUGAUGAACCUUUCGUAAAAAUAAAGAACAUGUUCCUCUUGCUGAUGCACCAGCAGUUGCUCCUCUUAUUGAUACACCAGUAGAAACUGUGACUCUACCUUCCAAACCUAAGAAACUGAAGCACCAGCCAAGGUACAUCCAAAAGACCACUCAGUUUAAUUAAAGAACUCAUCCGACGAAAUGUCACUUUUAAGGAAGAUUGAACUAGAAGGCAAUUGUGUUGAACUUCUUGAUCAUACCAAUGUCCGUGUCUAUGAGAAUGGAUAGGUAAGGCUGUCACGCACCCGUAUUCUGACAAAUCAAGAUUUAAGUGAUGCAGAAAUUGAGAAUCAUCUAAGGCUUAAUUAUAGGGCAGCGGUGGAUAUGAUUUUUAUGUUGUUUGAUGUCAAUGGCAAUGGGCAGUAUUGGCUACCACCAGAUAUGGAUCACCUACUUGGAUUGAUGUGGAAUAAUUUUGGGGAUCGGGGAAUUUAUGCCAUACAUGCUGCUCUUGUAC
rnacentral:lncRNA from 1 species